UACGGAAGGGGGCUAGCGUUGCUCGGAAUCACUGGGCGUAAAGCGCACGUAGGCGGAUUGCUAAGUCAGGGGUGAAAUCCUGGAGCUCAACUCCAGAACUGCCCUUGAUACUGGCGGUCUCGAGUCCGGGAGAGGUGAGUGGAACUGCGAGUGUAGAGGUGAAAUUCGUAGAUAUUCGCAAGAACACCAGUGGCGAAGGCGGCUCACUGGCCCGGUACUGACGCUGAGGUGCGAAAGCGUGGGGAGCAAACAGG
rnacentral:rRNA from 1 species